rnacentral:ncRNA from 1 species
CGAUCUGGAGAAUCCCGCUUCGAGCGGGUGCCGAAGGUGAAAGCGCAAAAGCGCGAAUCUCUCAGGCAAAAGGACAGAAC